rnacentral:rRNA from 1 species
UACGUAGGGACCGAGCGUUGUCCGGAUUCAUUGGGCGUAAAGAGCUCGUAGGCGGCUGCUCAAGUCGAAUGUGAAAACUCGAGGCUCAACCUCGAGCCUGCAUUCGAUACUGGGCGGCUAGAGUCUGGUAGGGGGAUCUGGAAUUCCUGGUGUAGCGGUGGAAUGCGCAGAUAUCAGGAGGAACACCGGUGGCGAAGGCGGAUCUCUGGGCCUGUUCUGACGCUGAGGCGCGAAAGCUAGGGGAGCGAACAGG